UACAGAGGGGGCAAGCGUUGUUCGGAAUUACUGGGCGUAAAGAGCUCGUAGGCGGUUUGUUGCGUCGGCUGUGAAAACCCGUGGCUCAACCAUGUGGUCUGCAGUCGAUACGGGCAGGCUAGAAUUCGGUAGGGGAGACUGGAAUUCCUGGUGUAGCGGUGAAAAUGCGCAGAUAUCAGGAGGAACACCAAUGGCGAAGGCAGCUUGCUGGGACGGUACUGACGCUGAGACGCGAAAGCCAGGGAGCGAACGGG
rnacentral:rRNA from 1 species